GCUGAAAUCAGUUGGAACAGUUCUAUGCCGGCUAAGGGAUGAUCUACAGGUGACGCGGCUAUCGCACUUUGACUACGUUCAAGCGGAUGACCUUGAACGUAUAGGCAUGGGCCGCCCUGGAGCAAGGCGGUUGCUGGACGCUGUCA